GUUAUAACCUUAACCCCAUAAACA
rnacentral:tRNA from 1 species